GCCGGCUGCGGGGACCCGGUGACAGUGCGAGAAGUACUAGAUUUUACAAGCUUGCACCAUGCGUGAGUAUAAGCUAGUCGUUCUUGGCUCAGGAGGAGCUGGAAAAUCUGCUCUGACUGUACAAUUUGUUCAAGGAAUUUUUGUUGAAAAAUAUGAUCCUACGAUAGAAGAUUCUUAUAGAAAGCAAGUUGAAGUAAUGCACAACAGUGUAUGUUUGAAAUCUUGGAUACUGCAGGAACGGAACAAUUUACAGCAAUGAGGGAUUUGUACGUGAAAAACGGACAAGGCUUUGCGUUAGUUUAUUCCAUCAGAUCACAGUCCAUAUUUAAUGAUUUACAAGAUCUGAGAGAACAGAUUCUUCAAGUUAAAGACGCUGAUGAUGCUCCAAUGAUUCUGGUUGGUAAUAAGUGUGACUUGGAAGAUGAAAGAGUUGUAGGAAAGGAACAAGGUCAAAAUUUAGCAAGACAAUGGAACAACAGUGCGUUCUUAGAAUCCUCUGUAAAAUCAAAAAUAAAUGUUAAUGAGAUCUUUUAUGACCUAGUGUGGCAAAUUAACAGAAAAACUCCAGUGCCUGGGAAGGCCCACAAAAAGUCGUCAUGUCAGCUGCUUUAUUAUACUAAAUGCAUUGUAGCUCUGAGCCAGGUCUGAAGAACUAUUGCCCAAUUCAACAGUGCCAGCAUUCCAACUUUAUUAAACCUACCAACAUCUUAAAUGGACUUUCUGUGGUGGUACCCUUUAAGGGGCGGAUGAAAGCUACUACAUCAGUUUGCACAUUCUAAUCACUUUCCAGGAUCACAAGAGAGAUUUUUACUUAUAUAAUAGUCCUAGAGUAUGCAGCUGGUAAAACCAGAGGCUACAAUCCAGUA